rnacentral:lncRNA from 1 species
GCAAGACACUUGAGAACCCACCGUCUUGGGGCUCCUUAGCGUUUUUAUUGAGAGAAGAACAUCCCUGGCGAGUUCCCACAGGGGCCGGGGAGUCCGAGGACCAGGCGGGGCGGGGGCGGCCGGGAGCGGCCGGCUUUUCUUUUCCGCCAUAAAGGCCUUCACAAUGUCUGCUGGAAUCUCAACGGUUAAAGGGAGCUCGCUGCACAAAGGGGCGCUCUGGCUGUAAUCGGGAAAUAAAUUUGAUUUUCUGAAUCCUUUGGCAGCUGGUGACAAAGGGCCAGGCAGCGGUGCAGAAGUUUCCAGGCUUUCUCCCCUCUGCUCCAGCUGGAAAGGAACCCCAGAGGAGCUCAGAAAAUCACGAAUGGAGUGGAAGAACAGCCUCAGAAAAGUCAGGAUGCCAAAUCAUCAUGGUUUGAUUUCUGCUUUCAUGCACAAGCAGUUUUAGAGAAAGCAAAGCAAGACGUAUCAGAGACACCACAAACCUAGUCUGGAGACACGUUCUUUAGCAGACAACCCCCGUACCCUGCUGUGUUGUCCUCAUGCCGC